UCAGAUGGUCGGAUGAUCGCUCUAGAUGAGAGGAAAGUCCGGGCUCCAAGAGACACAGCGCCGGGUAAUACCCGGCAAAGGCGACUUUAGGGAUAGUGCCACAGAAAAUAGACCGCCUGAGAAGGUAAGGGUGAAAAGGUGCGGUAAGAGCGCACCGCAUAAAUGGCAACAUUUGUGGCAGUGCAAACCCCAUCGAGAGCAAGACCAAAUAGAGGAGCUAUGAUUUCCCGUGAUCGCUCCAGGGUGGGUUGCUAGAGGUGUCUGGUGACAGAUAUCCAAGAUGAAUGAUUGCCCAAGACAGAACCCGGCUUAUCGGUUAACUCCUUCC
rnacentral:RNase_P_RNA from 1 species